CAUGGCUCAGGAUGAACGCUGGCGGCGUGCCUAAUACAUGCAAGUCGAACGAGUUCUGAUUAUUGAAAGGUGCUUGCAUCUUGAUUUAAUUUUGAACGAGUGGCGGACGGGUGAGUAACACGUGGGCAACCUGCCCUUAAGUGGGGGAUAACAUUUGGAAACAGAUGCUAAUACCGCAUAAAUCCAAGAACCGCAUGGUUCUUGGCUGAAAGAUGGCGUAAGCUAUCGCUUUUGGAUGGACCCGCGGCGUAUUAGCUAGUUGGUGAGGUAACGGCUCACCAAGGCAAUGAUACGUAGCCGAACUGAGAGGUUGAUCGGCCACAUUGGGACUGAGACACGGCCCAAACUCCUACGGGAGGCAGCAGUAGGGAAUCUUCCACAAUGGACGCAAGUCUGAUGGAGCAACGCCGCGUGAGUGAAGAAGGCUUUCGGGUCGUAAAACUCUGUUGUUGGAGAAGAAUGGUCGGCAGAGUAACUGUUGUCGGCGUGACGGUAUCCAACCAGAAAGCCACGGCUAACUACGUGCCAGCAGCCGCGGUAAUACGUAGGUGGCAAGCGUUAUCCGGAUUUAUUGGGCGUAAAGCGAGCGCAGGCGGUUUUUUAAGUCUGAUGUGAAAGCCCUCGGCUUAACCGAGGAAGUGCAUCGGAAACUGGGAAACUUGAGUGCAGAAGAGGACAGUGGAACUCCAUGUGUAGCGGUGAAAUGCGUAGAUAUAUGGAAGAACACCAGUGGCGAAGGCGGCUGUCUGGUCUGUAACUGACGCUGAGGCUCGAAAGCAUGGGUAGCGAACAGGAUUAGGUACCCUGGUAGUCCAUGCCGUAAACGAUGAAUGCUAGGUGUUGGAGGGUUUCCGCCCUUCAGUGCCGCAGCUAACGCAUUAAGCAUUCCGCCUGGGGAGUACGACCGCAAGGUUGAAACUCAAAGGAAUUGACGGGGGCCCGCACAAGCGGUGGAGCAUGUGGUUUAAUUCGAAGCAACGCGAAGAACCUUACCAGGUCUUGACAUCUUUUGAUCACCUGAGAGAUCAGGUUUCCCCUUCGGGGGCAAAAUGACAGGUGGUGCAUGGUUGUCGUCAGCUCGUGUCGUGAGAUGUUGGGUUAAGUCCCGCAACGAGCGCAACCCUUAUGACUAGUUGCCAGCAUUUAGUUGGGCACUCUAGUAAGACUGCCGGUGACAAACCGGAGGAAGGUGGGGAUGACGUCAAAUCAUCAUGCCCCUUAUGACCUGGGCUACACACGUGCUACAAUGGAUGGUACAACGAGUUGCGAGACCGCGAGGUCAAGCUAAUCUCUUAAAGCCAUUCUCAGUUCGGACUGUAGGCUGCAACUCGCCUACACGAAGUCGGAAUCGCUAGUAAUCGCGGAUCAGCACGCCGCGGUGAAUACGUUCCCGGGCCUUGUACACACCGCCCGUCACACCAUGAGAGUUUGUAACACCCGAAGCCGGUGGCGUAACCCUUUUAGGGAGCGAGCCGUCUAAGGUGGGACAAAUGAU
rnacentral:rRNA from 1 species